AAUAAACGCUGGCGGCGUGCCUAACACAUGCAAGUCGCACGAGAAAGGGGGUUCGCCCCCGAGUAAAGUGGCGCACGGGUGAGUAACGCGUAGGCAACCCACCCUCUAGAUUGGGACAACAGGGCGAAAGCCCUGCUAAUACCGGAUGUGACGGGGAGGCGAUAAGCUUUCCCGUGAAAGUCGGCCUCUUCACGAAAGCCGGCGCUAGAGGACGGGCCUGCGUCCUAUCAGCUAGUUGGUGAGGUAACGGCUCACCAAGGCGACGACGGGUAGCUGGUCUGAGAGGAUGAUCAGCCACACUGGCACUGGAACACGGGCCAGACUCCUACGGGAGGCAGCAGUGAGGAAUUUUGCGCAAUGGGGGAAACCCUGACGCAGCAACGCCGCGUGGGUGAAGAAGGCCUUCGGGUCAUAAAGCCCUGUCGGGUGGGAAGAAACCCCUUGGGGGAAAUACCCCCAAGGAUUGACGGUACCACCAGAGGAAGCACCGGCUAACUCCGUGCCAGCAGCCGCGGUAAUACGGAGGGUGCGAGCGUUAUUCGGAAUUACUGGGCGUAAAGCGCGUGCAGGCGGAUGGAUAAGUCUGAUGUGAAAGCCCCGGGCUCAACCCGGGGAGUGCAUUGGAUACUGCUCAUCUUGAGUACUGGAGAGGAAGGGAGAAUUCCCGGUGUAGAGGUGAAAUUCGUAGAGAUCGGGAGGAACACCAGUGGCGAAGGCGCCCUUCUGGACAGCUACUGACGCUGAGACGCGAAAGCGUGGGGAGCAAACAGGAUUAGAUACCCUGGUAGUCCACGCUGUAAACGAUGAUCACUAGGUGUAGCGGGUACUCAUUCCUGCUGUGCCGAAGCUAACGCGUUAAGUGAUCCGCCUGGGGAUUACGGUCGCAAGACUA
rnacentral:rRNA from 1 species